UCCUUGAUAACACUACCAGCUGAACUCCACCUGCUCCCUAAUCAUCAGUAUUUCCUUGUUGCUCAGGUUUCCACUGUGCUCUCACCAUCCUGCCUGUUUCCUGUUCAAGGCGUCUGUAACUGUGCUUCUACCUGCUGUCUUUUAUUUUGAUUUGCCAGCUGAUAUCAGUUAUUGUUGCUGUCAGUGACCUCAAGUUUGUCCGCCUGUCAUUGCCUUCGAUUAGUUUGGAUCAUCACUGCUGCUGCUCUCAAUCUGCGAUAGUUCAGGAACUUUAUCACGUUGCUCCUCAUUUGGAUUCAGCCAAAGCAACAGUUAGCAUGCUCAGUGCUGCUCUACCUGCUCAGCCUCACACAGCUUCUGCAGACAAACAGCAGCAGAAUGUGAAGCAGUCAGAGUUCAUCUUGUUCAACAGACUCUACAGAGGAAACAUCUCCACAUGAGACUGUCCUACCAAGAAGAAGUCAGUUUGGAGCCAAAGCCAGAAAAUGGACCCAAGACCUAAAAGAAGAGGGAGCAUGGAAUAUCUCCCUCCUUCUUUUUCUGAUCCACAGAACAAACACAUUGAAAAUGUUGCUUCAGUCAGAAGAUUAUUUGACACACAUGUAAAACAGAUGAGAGACAUUGUAGACGAGCUGCAGAAGAUCACAGCUAAAGAUCACAAGAGAUUUGAGAAAUCAUUGAUUGGCAUGAAGGCAGGACGUAUUACAGCAGCUGUUGGACUUGUA